rnacentral:misc_RNA from 1 species
GAAAGAUGGAUCCUCCCUGAACAUUUGAACUAACAUAUUAUCAAUAACAUCCAUAUAACGCCUCAAAGGAUCACGCUUGGACAUCUGCUUUGAUGUAGCCUGAGCAACCACAAUAGCAUUUGAUAAUUCUUGAUGGGCAUCAUCAAGCUUCACAGCCAUUUUUGCAAUUUUAUGAGAAAGAACCUUCUGACGAGUAGUCCAAUCGGCAUUUUUCCACAUGCUCUUUGGAAUUUCGCUCAUACCAAAACCAAGAAGAAAAGCACCAGUCACAAGUCCAAAAGUAUUUGA